rnacentral:pre_miRNA from 1 species
CAAGUACUCCCUCCAUCCGGAAUUACUUGUCACCAAAAUGGAUGUGUCUAGAACUAAAAUACAUCUAGAUACAUCCAUUUCAAUGACAAGUAUUUUCGGACAGAGGGAGUACAAG